CAAAAAUGACCAACUGAAGGUCAGAGAGAGAGAGAGAGAGAAAAUAGCUAUCCGUGGACACAGUCCCAUGUGGAUUCCCAUGCUGUGCUUCCUAGAUUAGUAUAAGCAGGGACAAUUUUACUAUUAUCAACUGAACAGUGUUGCAAAAAUGACCAACUGAAGGUCAGAGAGAGAGAGAGAGAGAAAAUAGCUAUCCAUGGACACAGUCCCAUGUGGAUUCCCAUGCUGUGCUUCCUAGAUUAGUAUAAGCAGGGACAAUUUUACUAUUAUCAACUCAACAGUGUUGCAAAAAUGACCAACUGAAGGUCAGAGAGAGAGAGAGAAAAUAGCUAUCCAUGGACACAGUCCCAUGUGGAUUCCCAUGCUGUGCUUCCUAGAUUAGUAUAAGUCAGGGACAAUUUUACUAUUAUCAACUCAACAGUGUUGCAAAAAUGACCAACUGAAGGUCAGAGAGAGAGAGAGAGAAAAUAGCUAUCCGUGGACAAGGUCCCAUGUGGAUUCCCAUGCUGUGCUUCCUAGAUUAGUAUAAUCAGGGACAAUUUUACUAUUAUCAACUCAACAGUGUUGCAAAAAUGACCAACUGAAGGUCAGAGAGAGAGAGAGAGGAGAGAGAAAAUAGCUAUCCGUGGACAAGGUCCCAUGUGGAUUCCCAUGCUGUGCUUCCUAGAUUAGUAUAAGCAGGGACAAUUUUACUAUUAUCAAUUCAACAGUGUUGCAAAAAUGACCAACUGAAGGUCAGAGAGAGAGAGAGAAAAUAGCUAUCCGUGGACAAGGUCCCAUGUGGAUUCCCAUGCUGUGCUUCCUAGAUUAAUAUUAGCAGGGACAGUUUAACGUGCCCAUCCGAUAACACUGUCUGCAAAUCCGUAGAAACCAAUCAAAAAAAA